ensembl:lncRNA
UAGAUACAGACAAAGGAGAUGCAGGAGGAAUGUGAGAGAAUGGAAACAAAGACAGAAAAGGAUAGAUGAGAGAGACAGAAAACUGGAAGGAGAUGGAGGCCAGCCUUGAACCAUAACGGCUCUUCAUUGGUUCAAAUGUACAAGUGACAGUGCCGCUGUUUUGGCUCUCUUGGAUGAAUGGGGAUGGG